rnacentral:rRNA from 1 species
AUCACUAAGCGGAGGAAAAGAAACUAACAAGGAUUCCCCUAGUAGCGGCGAGCGAACCGGGAGAAGCCCAGCUUGAAAAUCGCACCGUUUCGCGGCGCGAGUUGUAGUCUGGAGAAGUGUCCUCUGCGGCGGACCCGGCUUAAGUCCCCUGGAAAGGGGCGUCAGAGAGGGUGAGAACCCCGUCGGGCCGGGACCCUGCCGCUCCACGAGGCGCUGUCGACGAGUCGGGCUGUUUGGGAAUGCAGCCCUAAGUGGGAGGUAAAUUCCUUCCAAGGCUAAAUACGGGCGGGAGACCGAUAGCGAACAAGUACCGCGAGGGAAAGAUGAAAAGGACUUUGAAAAGAGAGUUAAAAAGUGCUUGAAAUUGCUGGGAGGGAAGCGAAUGGAGGCCUCGUGUGCGCCCCGGUCGGAUGCGGAACGGCGCGAGCUGGUCCGCCGCUCGACGCGGGGUGCUGGUCGGCGUGGGCUUCCCCGGCGGGACAAAAGUCGGCCUUCAGUGGCCGGCCGAUGCCGUCGAGGAGGCCGAGGAACGAAGUGCGCGUCCCCCCCGGGGGACGGGUUCUCUUCGGAGAACACCUGCGCACUCGGGACGCCGGCGUAGUGGGCUU